rnacentral:rRNA from 1 species
AGGCUUUCGGGUAGUAAACCCCUUUCAGUUGGGACGAAGCCUCGGCGGUGAAUAGCCGACCGAGGUGACGGUACCUUCACAAGAAGCACCGGCUAACUACGUGC